AAAAGCACCCCGGGAGGGGAGUGAAAGAGAACCUGAAACCCUAUGUUUACAAGCAGUGGGAGCGAAAGCGACCGCGUACUUUUUGUAGAACGGGCCGGCGAGUUACUGUAUGCAGCGAGGUUAAGGUGUAGAGCACCGGAGCCGCAGGGAAACCGAGUCUUAACUGGGCGAAUAGUUGCAUAUAGUACACCCGAAACCGGGUGACCUAUCCAUGGACAGGAUGAAACGGUGGUAAAACACCGCGGAGGUCCGAACCACACGUAUGUUGAAAAAUGCGGGGAUGAGCUGUGGAUAGCGGAGAAAUUCCAAUCGAACUCGGAAAUAGCUGGUUCUCCCCGAAAUAGCUUUAGGGCUAGCCUCGUAUUAGAUUACCGGGGGUAGAGCACUGAAUGGGCUAGGGGGCCACAAAGCUUACCGAACCCUAUCAAACUUCGAAUACCGGAUAAUUGAUGUACGGGAGUCAGACGGCGUGAGAUAAGUUUCGUCGUCGAGAGGGAAACAGCCCAGAUCUACGACUAAGGUCCCAAAAUCACAGUUAAGUGGAAAAGGAUGUGCAGUUGCACAAACAACCAGGAUGUUGGCUUAGAAGCAGCCACUCAUUCAAAGAGUGCGUAAUAGCUCACUGGUCGAGUGAUUGUGCGCCGAAAAUGUACCGGGGCUAAACUGUGUACCGAAGUCUAGGGAUUGCGUAAGCAAUCGGUAGGGGAGCAACGUGUGCGGGCUGAAGCCGAAGCGUAAGCGACGGUGGACUGCACGGGAGAGAGAAUGCCGGCAUGAGUAGCGAGAGCAAAGUGAGAAUCUUUGCCGUCGAAAGCCUAAGGUUUCCUGAGGAAGGCUCGUCCACUCAGGGUAAGUCAGGACCUAAGCCGAGGACAGAAGUCGUAGGCGAUGGACAACUGGUUGAUAUUCCAGUACCACCUUUAGCGCAUGACAGAAGCAGUGACACAGAAGGAUAGACAGAGCACGGCGAUGGUAGACCGUGUCUAAGCAGUGAGGCUGGUUGGUAGUAAAGUACGCCAACUAAGGCUGGGCUGUGAUGGGGACCGAAGAUUAGUAGGGAAGCUGUUGAAUUCACGCUGGCGAGAAAAGCUGCUAUGGAGCGAAGAGGUGCCUGUACCGCAAACCGACACAGGUAGGCGAGGAGAGAAUCCUAAGACGAGCGGGAGAACCCUUGUUAAGGAACUCGGCAAAAUGACCCCGUAACUUAGGGAAAAGGGGAGCCUCGAGAGAGGCCGCAGAGAAUAGGCCCAAGCGACUGUUUACCAAAAACACAGGUCUGUGCGAAGUAGAGAUACGACGUAUACGGGCUGACGCCUGCCCAGUGCCGGAAGGUUAAGGGGAAGUGUUAGGGCAACCGAAGCACGGAACUUAAGCCCCGGUGAACGGCGGCCGUAACUAUAACGGUCCUAAGGUAGCGAAAUUCCUUGUCGGGUAA
rnacentral:rRNA from 1 species